GACAGAGGGUGCAAACGUUGUUCGGAAUUACUGGGCGUAAAGCGUGCGCAGGCGGUUUGCUAAGACAGGUGUGAAAUCCCCGGGCUUAACCUGGGAACUGCGCUUGUAACUGGCAAGCUUGAGUGUGGCAGAGGGGGGUGGAAUUCCACGUGUAGCAGUGAAAUGCGUAGAGAUGUGGAGGAACACCGAUGGCGAAGGCAGCCCCCUGGGCUAACACUGACGCUCAUGCACGAAAGCGUGGGGAGCAAACAGG
rnacentral:rRNA from 1 species